UGAGGAAUAUUGGGCAAUGCCCGCAGGGGUGACCCAGCAACGCCGCGUGGAGGAUGAAUGUCGUAAGAUUGUAAACUCCUGUUAGAGGGGAAGAAUAGUACCGGUUGGACCGGUAUAUGACUGUACCCUCAGAGAAAGCCCCGGCUAACUACGUGCCAGCAGCCGCGGUAAUACGUAGGGGGCAAGCGUUGUCCGGAUUUACUGGGUGUAAAGGGCGCGCAGGCGGGAUAAAAAGUCAGUGGUGAAAUCCUACAGCUUAACUGUAGAACUGCCUUUGAUACUUUUAUUCUUGAGUUCGGGAGAGAGAGACGGAAUUCCAGGUGUAGUGGUGAAAUACGUAGAUAUCUGGAAGAACACCAGUUGCGAAGGCGGUCUCUUGGUCCGACACUGACGCUGAGGCGCGAAAGCGUGGGGAGCAAACA
rnacentral:rRNA from 1 species